GGGCAGAGAGGGCAGUGAGGAAACCUGCCUCUGGCACCGCAGGGUUGGUUUCUGGCUUAGGAAAGGUCACAACGAGAUACCAAACUUUUUUGGAAUUGGCUUUUUUGGCAUGAAGGGAAAUCUUUCCAGCGGGGAGCUGGAGGGAGGUGGCUCUGUGGGAUGCUCWGAAGGGGGACAGCUCUCCUCCCCGGGCAGUUCGGGUGCCCGCAGGCUCUCAGGGUGCUGCCUGGACACCGGGGACGAGCCCCUCAGCCUCCCCCCCCGGGGGCUGCCCCCCGAGCCCGGCUUUUCUCCGCCCGCGGCCCGCCCCGAGGACGGGAAACGGGGCCGGGCCGAGGCGAGGGGAGCCGAGGGGAGCAUGGCCGGUGGCGGCGGGGGCCCGGCGCCCUGAGCGGCGCCAUGCGGGGCCGGCUGCUGGCGCGGCUGAGGCGGCGGCGGCUGCUGCGGCUCCUGCUGGCCCUGGGCGCGCUGGCGCUGGGGCUGUGGGCCGCCUACCUGGAGCUGCUGCCAGCCCCCGGCGGGGGGGCGGCCCCGGACCGCAGCAGGAGAUAUUUUUACAUCUUUGUUAUAAAAAAAAUCGUCCGGUUUAAGGCUGAGGCUGGAAACAGUGACACGGCUGCGGUCCCUACCAGCCCGAGCACGGCGUUGAAGUGGAAUCAAAGCUCCAGACGCUCCCAAAGCCACCAGAGACGUCGCCGGUGGCCGCAUGCAGGGGCUGCUGGCAAGGCUGGAGGGGUGAAGCCCUCGAGCAGGAGGCUCCAUGGCACGAAAGAGCCUGUGCACACCCAGAGCUGAUGCUCUGCCCCGGGCAUUUGGCAUCCUGGGCUCCUGGGGAGCGUCCUGGAAAGUGCCAGCAGGAGGGGGGUUAAGCCGUGCCCCUCCCCACCCUCGCUCUUACCCCAUACCUCCAAAAGCCUGUUUUAAGAGAAAUCAGAAGUUGGAAUGAAAAACAAACAGCGUUUGAUUUCUUUUGGCUGUUAAGCCAAGCAGCGCUUUCUUCUCCUGGGACUGGGGUGGCUGCGUUUGGGGCUCCACGUGGGGGCUCUUUCUGGAGAUCCCACAGAGCUGAGGGGUGAUUCUCAGAGCAAUUAAUUCCUUUUUCCCUCUUGUUUUUGUUUUCCUUCUUGUGUCCCAGGUGGGAACCCUACGGUAAGUCUCAGCUGGGGACCAAGCAAGGGCUGCCGUCCCCACUCAUCUGAUGCAACAGCCUCCCCAGUUACUGCUGGCAGAAUACAAAGGCUGGUUGCUCGGUAAUUUUUCCAGGCAUAAGACUAAGAAGCUCCUUCCUCUGGGGACAGAAAGCUGUUGGGCUUGGAAGGGAGCUAAAGCAGAUCUGUUUCCAUCUCCUGUGUCUGCAGCGAGCUUUCUUCUCACCUCCCAAAAAGGCACCGCCGGAUAGCCUGUGAAAGGAGCAGCAAGUGGGUUUUUUCUUUCUUCAGGCAUGGCCGUUCCUCCCCAGCAUUUUGCUCCUCUCUCCCACCGGGUGGCUGUGGGGCAGGGGAAGCAAAUCCCAAAUAGAUGUUAGCCUAAGCCAUGCUCAGAAACCGUGUCCCUGGCUGCUCUCCCUUCAUGUAUGUGCAGCUCUGCUGUGCAGCGAGGCUCAGCGUGCAGAUAAGCUUGGCUGCAGGAGAAUAAAGGGCCUCGCAGAACAUGCA
rnacentral:lncRNA from 1 species